UACGAAGGGGGCAAGCGUUGUUCGGAAUUAUUGGGCGUAAAGGGAGCGUAGGCGGUUCGGCAAGUCUCUUGUGAAAUCUCUGGGCUCAACUCAGAGUCUGCAAGGGAAACUGCCGGGCUGGAGUAUGGGAGAGGUGAGUGGAAUUCCCGGUGUAGCGGUGAAAUGCGUAGAUAUCCGGAGGAACACCGGUGGCGAAGGCGGCUUCCUGGACCGGCAUUGACGCUGAGGCGCGAAAGCCAGGGGAGCAAACGGG
rnacentral:rRNA from 1 species